GACGUAGGGCGCGAGCGUUGUCCGGAUUUAUUGGGCGUAAAGAGCUCGUAGGCGGCUUGUCGCGUCGUCCGUGAAAACUUGGGGCUCAACCCCAAGCUUGCGGUCGAUACGGGCAGGCUAGAGUUCGGAAGAGGCGAGUGGAAUUCCCGGUGUAGCGGUGAAAUGCGCAGAUAUCGGGAGGAACACCUAUGGCGAAGGCAGCUCGCUGGGACGUUACUGACGCUGAGACGCGAAAGCGUGGGGAGCAAACAGG
rnacentral:rRNA from 1 species